rnacentral:rRNA from 1 species
CUGGCUCAGGAUGAACGCUAGCGAUAGGCCUAACACAUGCAAGUCGAGGGGCAGCAUAUGACGUAGCAAUACAGAUGAUGGCGACCGGCGGAUGGGUGAGUAACACGUAUGCAACCACCUUUAACACGGGCAUAACUCGAAGAAAUUCGUGCUAAUUCCCGAUAAAACAGGGGCGCCGCAUGGCGAUAUUUGUUAAAGAUUAAUCGGUUAAAGAUGGGCAUGCGUUCCAUUAGCUAGUUGGUGAGGUAACUGCUCACCAAGGCAACGAUGGAUAGGGGGACUGAGAGGUUUAUCCCCCACACUGGUACUGAGACACGGACCAGACUCCUACGGGAGGCAGCAGUGAGGAAUAUUGGUCAAUGAGCGAAAGCUUGAACCAGCCAAGUCGCGUGAAAGGAUGAAUGUCCUAAGGAUUGUAAACUUCUUUUAUACAGGAAUAAAGUUAGCCACGUGUGGUUAUUUGCAUGUACUGUAUGAAUAAGGAUCGGCUAACUCCGUGCCAGCAGCCGC